GGGGCGUCCCCGGCGCAGGCGCACUAGGCGGCACGGAGCCCGCGGGGCGCGCCUGCGCGCUGCGUGCGGAGAAAAAGGCGGGCGCCGGCAAGCGGGUCGCUGCGAGGCGGUGGCGUCGGUAGCCAGCCUGAGAGCUCGCGCGCUGAGGGAGGGAACCGAGGACCGCGGACGGCGGGGUGCGGAAGGUGCGGAGACCCUGAGGUGCGGCCUCACCCUCGUGGGGCUGCAGGGAUCCAGUGGGGUCCUGGCAGGGGGCAGCCCAUAGCGGCUUCUCCUGGAGUCCUUGUCAGCACAGCUCAGGGACUGAGCUCACAAGCGGAUCCAGACCUGGCCCCAGUGCAGGGCCUCACCCAGGAGAGUUUGCCGGCUCAAGGGUGCGCUGCCCCAACCAGAGAGGCUGCCUGGAAACACUUCAUUGUUUUUGUUUGUUUGUUUGUUUUGACAUUUAGAAAACACUUAUUCUUUCUAGAAUAUAUACUUUAUAUAUACAUAUAUAUGUGUGUGUGUGUAAAUAUAAAUACACACGCAUAUUCAGAUGUCCCCCUUGAAACUGUGACCCACGUACAUUAACAUUAUCUGCCUUAAACAGGUUGGGUGCAGAGCCACCUGUUUACUAAAUCAGCAAGUGCAGUUUGUCUCACCCCUUAGGUUUCAGACCUGCUCGGCCCUGUGAUGCCCUGGGCCCUCCAGGAUUUCAGAUCAGCUCGGGGUGCCCUCCCUCCGGGCCCACAGCCUGGCACACACUGCUGGACCUGCAGCCUCAGUGCCGACCUCGCUAGUUCCCCAGCACAAGAUGCGAAACGCCGGGUGUCGGGUCAGCGCCCACAGGCAGAAAUGCCUUUAAGGAGCUCCCAGCCUAGAAGAGGACCUGACAGCCAGCUUUCCCAUUGUCCACUGAGUAUGAAUGCUGUUUAUUUAUAACCCAACUGAGAAAACAUGGAUUUAAAAAAAAAAACAGAACUACCAAAUGUAAUGUUUUCCUAAGACUUCAUCUAUCGAAUGAAGUGAUUCUGGUUGGAUUGAUCUUUCAAGACCUUCCUUUGUGAUUAGUUAUUUCCUUAAAUUUUUUAUUUUUUAUUAAAAUAAUGUGUUAACUGCAUAAAAUUCAGAAGAAAAUAUCAAGGUGAAAGAAGAAAAGUUUGUAGUUAUCCAUAAACCUGUCAGGUAGUGAUAAUCACUGAAUAUUUUGGUAUUUUUCAUUCAUUUUGUCUGGAUACAUAUAUAAAUGUGUAUAAAUAAAUAUGUGCAGAUAUGGAA